rnacentral:rRNA from 1 species
GACGAACGCUGGCGGCGUGCUUAACACAUGCAAGUCGAACGGAAAGGCCCUGCUUUUGUGGGGUGCUCGGGUGGCGAACGGGUGAGUAACACGUGAGUAACCUGCCCUUGACUUUGGGAUAACUUCAGGAAACUGGGGCUAAUACCGGAUAGGAGCUCCUGCUGCAUGGUGGGGGUUGGAAAGUUUCGGCGGUUGGGGAUGGACUCGCGGCUUAUCAGCUUGUUGGUGAGGUAGUGGCUUACCAAGGCUUUGACGGGUAGCCGGCCUGAGAGGGUGACCGGCCACAUUGGGACUGAGAUACGGCCCAGACUCCUACGGGAGGCAGCAGUGGGGAAUAUUGCACAAUGGGCGGAAGCCUGAUGCAGCAACGCCGCGUGCGGGAUGACGGCCUUCGGGUUGUAAACCGCUUUCGCCUGUGACGAAGCGUGAGUGACGGUAAUGGGUAAAGAAGCACCGGCUAACUACGUG